rnacentral:rRNA from 1 species
CCUACGGGAGGCAGCAGUGGGGAAUAUUGGGCAAUGGGCGCAAGCCUGACCCAGCAACGCCGCGUGAAGGAAGAAGGCUUUCGGGUUGUAAACUUCUUUUCUGAGGGACGAAGACAGUGACGGUACCUCAGGAAUAAGCCACGGCUAACUACGGGCCAGCAGCCGCGGUAAUACGUAGGUGGAAAGCGUUAUCCGGAUUUAUUGGGUGUAAAGGGCGUGUAGGCGGGAAAGGAAGUCAGAUGUGAAAACUCAGGGCUCAACCCUGAGCUGGCAUUUGAAACUGUUUGUCUUGAGUGCGGGAGAGGCAAUCGGAAUUCCGGGUGUAGCGGUGAAAUGCGUAGAUAUAAGGAGGAACACCAGUGGCGAAGGCGGAUUGCUGGACAGUAACUGACGCUGAGGCGCGAAAGCGUGGGGAGCAAACAGGAUUAGAUACCCCGGUAGUC